rnacentral:rRNA from 1 species
GACGAACGCUGGCGGCGUGCCUAAUACAUGCAAGUCGAGCGGAAUCAAUGAGAAGCUUGCUUCUCUGAGAUUUAGCGGCGGACGGGUGAGUAACACGUAGGCAACCUGCCCAUAAGACUGGGAUAACUACCGGAAACGGUAGCUAAUACCAGAUAGGUUCUUCUCUCGCAUGAGAGAAGAAAGAAAGACGGAGCAAUCUGUCACUUAUGGAUGGGCCUGCGGCGCAUUAGCUAGUUGGUGAGGUAAUGGCUCACCAAGGCGACGAUGCGCAACCGACCUGAGAGGGUGAUCGGCCACACUGAGACUGAGACACGGCCCAGACUCCUACGGGAGGCAGCAGUAGGGAAUCUUCCGCAAUGGACGAAAGUCUGACGGAGCAACGCCGCGUGAGUGAUGAAGGUUUUCGGAUCGUAAAGCUCUGUUGCCAGGGAAGAACGUCCUUGAGAGUAACUGCUCAAGGAGUGACGGUACCUGAGAAGAAAGCCCCGGCUAACUACGUGCCAGCAGCCGCCGUAACAC